UACGGAGGGUGCAAGCGUUAUCCGGAUUCACUGGGUUUAAAGGGUGCGUAGGUGGGCAGGUAAGUCAGUGGUGAAAUCUCCGGGCUCAACCCGGAAACUGCCAUUGAUACUAUCAGUCUUGAAUAUCGUGGAGGUAAGCGGAAUAUGUCAUGUAGCGGUGAAAUGCUUAGAUAUGACAUAGAACACCAAUUGCGAAGGCAGCUCGCUACACGAAUAUUGACUCUGAGGCACGAAAGCGUGGGGAUCAAACAGG
rnacentral:rRNA from 1 species